CCAAACCCCAGGUUCACGGCCAGCGGGCAAACUCGCCCACCACACCUCGGUCUCCUAAGACCCUUUCCUUGGCAAUCCAAUGAAAGCUCGGUGGAACGACAAAAGCUACAACUCAGCGUGCACAUGACACCGCCACUUGUGCUUCCUAGGAGGGUGAGAGGAGAUGAGGCAGGUGCCACUAAUCCACCCUAAAAAUAGGGAGAAGGAUGAGCUUUCGUGUCGGGGGUUGGGGUGUUCACACUUAAAACAUAAAUCAACUGGCAAAUUCAGCCCAACUCACGUGCUGGCCCUGUCCACACAGACGUCGACUCCAGCAAAAAUGUCCUGACUGACUUCAGGAGAGAUAGGAAUUAUUGCUACGUGCCUCUUUCCCAGUGAAGAAAAUCUCUGUUGGCUGCGGGCAGAGAAGCGGCGGAAGGAUUCCCGACUCCGGGAAGCCAGGUGUCGGAAGGAGGAAGUGCGCUUGAAGGGGGUCCGGCUGGCCGACUCUGCACUCGUCCGUUCGUGGCCCACCGUGGUGGUCACCAAAUUGAGGGCUUCCUGGAAGGACCUCCUCACGGUGCCCAUCCAGUGGGUCAUGUGGGUCUGAGCCACCGUGAGUUUAUCUCCCAGCUGUCUCUCCCUCCCUCUCUGGAAGGCAACACUGAUCCAGGAUCUCACUCUGUUGCCCAGGCUGGACUGCAGUGGCUUGAUCACAGCUCACUGCAGCCUUGGCCUCCCAGGCUCAAGCGAUCCUCCCACCUCAGCCUCCUGAGUAGCUAGGACUACAGGUGGAGCAACACCGUCAGUCAGAAGGCAGCGGAUGGCACAGGGCUUCCGCGUAAGGCCUGCAUCGCCUGAGUCAUGGUUUUCUCAUCUUGUAUGAGGCCCACCCCCUUCAAAAGGUUGUGACAAAAAAAACAACUGAGAUAAUUUGUGCUGCUGGCACACAGUUAACACUCAAUAAGGCCGGGCACAGUGGCUUACACCUCUAAUCCCAGCACUUUGGGAGGCUGAGGCAGGUGGAUCACUUGAGGCCAGGAGUUCGAUACCAGCCUGACCAACAUGGUGAAACCCCAUCUCAACUAAAAAUACAAAAAUUAGCCAGGCAUGGUGGUGUGCACCUGUAGUCCCAGCUACUUGGGAGCCUGAGGCAGGAGCAUCUCUUGAACCCGGGAGGUGGAGGUUGCAGUGAGCAGAGAUCGCACCACUGCACUCCAGCCUGGGUGACAGAACAAGACUCUGUCUCAAAACAACAACAACAACAAAAUAAUAAAUGGUGACCACAAGG